GAAACUGAGGCCCAGAGAAAUAAAUCCACUCUCCUGAAGUCAAACGGCAAGAUAGUCAAAAUCCGGAUUUGAUGCAGAAUUCUUGAAUUGACCGCUAUCUAUAGCCUUUGAGCAAAGGCUCAUGCUCUCUAAACAGUCCAUCAACACUCUCUCUGAUCACAGACUUCGCCCUGAUUGAGUGGGGAGACGUCAGCCAAGGAGGAAAACAUGUGGAGAAUCUGUGAACCAUGUGUGUCAUUCCCGAUGUCAACAUGUAAGGAAAUAUGGGAGCGGCCUCACAUUGGUGCAUUUCCCCUCUAGCUCCCAGAAUGGAAAAGGGCACCGCUCGCUUUUGAAAAUAUGUAUUUAGGAUUACCGUUGCUGGUGUCGCGGUAAGGACGAUGAUGAAAAUACACAGGAUUCUGUGUCGGUCCCACAUCAAUACAACAAGACCACCUGCCCCUCCCACCCCCAGGGACUAAUGUAACACCAGUAAAGUGUGUGUGUAACUAACA